UCGGGAAUCUUGCACAAUGGGCGAAAGCCUGAUGCAGCAACGCCGUGUGAGCGAGGAAGGUUUUCGGAUCGUAAAGCUCUGUUGUUGGGGACGAAGGGCGAAGGGUUAAUAGCCCCUAGCCUGACGGUACCCUUCGAGGAAGCCCCGGCUAACUACGUGCCUGCAGCCGCGGUAAUACGUAGGGGGCGAGCGUUGUCCGGAAUUAUUGGGCGUAAAGAGCGUGUAGGCGGCCUGGUAAGUCUGCCGUGAAAACUUGGGGCUCAACCCUGAGCGUGCGGUGGAUACUGCUAGGCUAGAGGGUGGUAGAGGCGAGUGGAAUUCCCGGUGUAGCGGUGAAAUGCGCAGAUAUCGGGAGGAACACCAGUAGCGAAGGCGGCUCGCUGGGCCAUUCCUGACGCUGAGACGCGAAAGCUAGGGGAGCGAAUGGGAUUAGAUACCCGUGUAGUCC
rnacentral:rRNA from 1 species